ensembl:snoRNA SNORA70 Small nucleolar RNA SNORA70
GUAGAACUGAAAAUGCAGCCCUACCCUGUACUCUAGCUACUGCAGUUACAGGUAUCUAACUAGAUGAUUUUAGCCUCCUGGGUAGUAUAUGCAGCCUGUUGCCCGUAUGGGUUGCCCUAAGGGACCUUGGAGACAGCC